rnacentral:rRNA from 1 species
GCAAGUCGAGCGAGAAGAUAAGUGCUUGCACUUAUUAGAAAGCGGCGAACGGGUGAGUAACAUGUUGGAAUCUGCCUUUUGUGUCAGGGAUAGCCAUUGGAAACGAUGAUUAAUACCGGAUAGUCUCUACGGAGUAAAAAUUUAUUGCCAAAAGAGGAGCCUACAUUCUAUCAGUUAGUUGGUGAGGUAAAAGCUCACCAAGACAAUGACGGAUAACUGGUCUGAGAGGAUGAUC